rnacentral:lncRNA from 1 species
GCUGGGUGGGGGAAGAUUAGGAUGUGGGCAGGGGAGGGGAGGGGAGGGGCAGUAUUGGUGGAGUUGAACAUGGUAACCACACUCUAUAAUUUCUCGUCUCUCCAAUAUAUCAUAUAUGUGUUUGCGCGUAUAAGGUAUGUUUGGGUAGAAGGAGGAGAGAGAGAGAGAUUAGUAACACCCAGUAAAUUAAUAACACUCAAUCCUUAUUCACCUAACCCCACUAAUCACCCACUCCAUCCACUUGUAUAUUUCUUAAUGGAACUGAGACACACCACAAGAGUUUGUUUAGAUUGCUAACUAAAGUUAUUGAUAGCUGUAGAGACACGAAACAUACCGUAAAGUAUGGCAGCCACGAGAAGGCCUGGAGGGAUGCGCCAGAGUGUUUUUCACACCUAACAAAAAAAAAAGGGGCCCCCAUUCCCCCGAACCACCUUACAUUGUAGAAGCAUACUAACAGCAGCGCGUCGAGGCUCGGAAGAAGUACAGGGCUGCACUCUACCCGAGCUCGUGGAUUAACUCUUGCUAUCAUGGCGCCACGCAAACAGUUACGCCGCAUCCCGGGUGAUACACAGAGAUUGACGGGAAUCCCAAUGAAUGCCAUGCACAUAGCGACGCUUGCAACGACAUGGGCACGAUUGACACCACCCCAAUCUGGGCUGGAGAUUCACGGUCAAGAAGGACAACCACCUCUCUGCAAAAUGAAGAUUAAGGUGAACUGCCCGAUAGCCAAGUCAUCCGUUGGCGCGUCAAUGCACUCUUCGAGCUAAACUAUAUAAGCAAAUUCACAGUAGAGGUGAGGAGAAUUUUUGUCUUUGGAAUCUUUUUUGCGCUCGCGCUGACUGGCCUCUUCUUCUCUUGCUCUCUCUCUCUCUGGAAUACAUAGCUGAAGGCAUUCUGGUCAUCUAACUUGCUACGGAGAGUCCUUUUUUCGGAACAGCCCGGCGGCCGGACUUACUGUUGUCUAUGUUGCAGUUACUAAGGUGAUCGUCAACUUGGUGAACCCCUCCAGAAGCUAAAGGAAGGACGCGUCGUUGGGGGCUACUUUCGAUUCCCGCCUUGUAAACUCAACUCCGCACAAUUGGCGGUCCAGCCUGUGGGAAAUUGACUAAUAGACAACCUACAAGACGCUACCUAUACUUGUUGAGGAAGAAAAUUGUUCCGGCAUACCGUCAAAAACCCGAGGGGCACCCCUCAUAUGUCCCUAGAACACCUGGGGACAGAGGGGGCAAACUACUAGGCCCUGAUGGCCGCAGAGGGCGACGAAGGGCCACCUCAAAGCAAAGGUCGGGGCGGUUUAUCCCCCGGAGGAAGAGACGACCAUGGGGGGGACGUCACGAUGGACAUUGCAAGCACAGCUGACGUCAAAUAGCCCCAUAUUUUGGUAGCCAAAUCGGCUUGUGGGGCCGGUCCCAAUAGACAAUAUACAGUCUUCAAGGGCAAGAUUAUGAGGAGAAUACCCCUCCAAUGAGAACCCAGAAGGAGAGGCGACCCUCGCGCCGAUCUGAGCUGGAGAGCCACGGUGAUAAUAGAACCUAGUGUCGAGCAAGCGAAUCUUCGGCUGAAGAAAAAAUGCAUCUUCGUAGAGAAGCGAAAACCUACGGGACGCGCUUAAUGCAAAGAGGAUCAGUGGUGGACUUAAGACAGAACUCAUAGCCAAAGGGAUGCCAUGCAGUCAGAAGCAUCAUGCUAAUGGAGUCUGGAACUCAUACCGGUGUCAUUGGUACGACAAGGGAGUUGAAAAUUUGGGAUUCAACAACUCUUUUUUCCGGGUGAAUAGAGGGAAUUGAUCCGCUGGAAAAAUUUCGUUACCACCCAGGGUCACCCUUAUAAUGGAAGUCAGACCCCUCGGUCCCAUGUGAGCCACGUGAGACAGAUGAUGGCUUUGUGGAAUCAUAUGGAUACUCUUAUGUGUGGAGUAUUCCCAUCCAUCUGGGCGACCUGGGGCUUAAAUGUUCGACAGUUACGUAGGGUCAAUAGAGAGCUUUUCUUAUCUUACUGAGUACGUUUGUAGUCUCGUUUCAUCUAAAUACAAGGCAACCCAAGGCAGUUGGCUCGUUGCUAACGUUUGAAGAAAGGCGGAACGAUUCGAUUAGGAAUUACAGUAGAGGUAUUGGGAAACAUACAACGAAAUUGAUGAAUGUUCCGAGAAAAUGUGUUGCAAGUUACAGAACUCGGAUUGUCCCCCUGGGGACAGGUAUAGGAGAACCUGACGUUUAUUCUAGACCCUCCAAUCGGCCUCCGGGACCUCAUGUCCCAGGUCGAGAUAUUCGCUGUUUGGAGGCUGAUAUUAGGGAAUUCGAGAAGGACGAGGCAAAGUCGGUCGUGUAAAGGCUCCAGUUAAAAGGAGGAAAGAUGGAUCUAGUCCAUACGAAACUCGGCAAGCCAGGGAAUUAACGUGGUCUUCAAGGAACCGAUUACAAAACUCCUGGCCUAGAAUCAGAGGACAAACCAUACUUCAAGAAAACCGGAACCAAUGGGUGGCCGACCCAAAAAGCAAAAUCAAGCAUUGGAGGUGCUCGUAUCACGGUGAGAAAGGCACAAAACCGAAAAACUACAGGCUCUUAAGGCUUUUCUAGAGCAACAUGGUCCAUGAUGAACACCUUAAAGAGUUCGGAGAUAAUGCGAAGACCCGGAUAGAAGUGGCCGAGACCGAGGCCAAUAGGAGGCUCGAUCGAGUCGGAGUGAAAUGGAAAAGGCUGCAGACGGAGGGAUGAAGAUUGCCCCUGAGGCACUAUUUCACAUGAUCGGGGGCCCGAAUGACCCCAGUCUGCCGAAAACAAAAUUCCGAAAGAGAUUCGCAUGAUUAGCAAAGCACGAGGUGCUCUCAGUCCCAUCCUGCCGCAGAAGAUGAAAGGCGGCCGAAGCUGAGAGGGAAUGGUCACCUUUUCCAGGGCGGACCUCGGAAAGAGUAGAACAUCCUCACUCGGAUCCAUUAGUGGUGGCAGGUAAGGAUCGAAGGGUAUGACGCAAGAGAAUCUGUGAAUAUCGAAGACUCGAUCGAGGUAAUGUAUUAGAUUUAUCAAAACAAUUAAAAGCUUAACAAGACCAAACUGAAACCAGCCCGAGUUCCGCUAGUCGGGUUUAAUGCUCAAGCACAUUGGCCUUUGGGAACCGUGUCUCUCAAACCCGAGUAGGCUCCAAGAAACUAAUGAUAGAAUCUGUAGUGUAGAUAAUCAUCGCCAAUAUAAUGCUAUUGUGGAAGAGGAUUGGUUGCACAGGAUGAAGGAGUGGGCUUACACACAUUCACCAUAAGUUCCUCACGCCCGGAGGUGAGGAGGCUAUAUAUGGAGAUAAGUGAGGCCGCAAAACAACGCUUCUGGCCACAAUGUCGAUAAGAUAGCGGUUGAAAGAAGUUCAAAUGGUUCAAGGAGGAUAUAGAAGUGCUGGAGGCGUGGGUCACGAUCUCGAGGCAAAAGGUCAUCGAGGAUUGGUGAGCUAUUGAUUGGAUGAGCGAGUUUAGAUGAUUUUUUAUAGUCGGGUCAGACCUGAAUGAAUGGAGAACAACCGAACUCAUCCAACUCUUAAAAGCUAACAUUGAGACUUCGCAUGGACCCUUACAAAAAGCCGGGAAUUGACCAAAACUUUAUCAAGUACAAGCUAAACGUUCAACUGGAUUUUUGACCGGUAAAAAAAGGGGGAGAAGGUCAGCGACCGAGCACGUGGAGCGGUGAUAGAAGAAGUGGAGAAACUCAGGGAAGCUGAUGCAAUUAACGAAGUCAUUUAUCCCCCCCCAGUUGGCUGUCGAACACCGUGGGUGUGGAAAAGAAAACGGGCAAAGUGGCGGGUCGUGUCGAUUUAUAUCUCAACCGGGCUUGCCCUAAGGACUGUUCCCAUUACCAAAGAUAAAAUCAGUUGGUUGAUAGCACCUCGGGUCAAUGCCCGUAUGAGUUUUCUGAUGCGUACAGAGGAUAUCAUCAAAUCGCUCUGCAUGGACCGGAUCAGGAAAAAAACUCAUUUAUCACCCUAGGGGGUGUUCGCCUACCAAAGUUAUGCCAUUUGCGGCUCAAAAAGCGGGGCCACGUACCAGAGAAUGGUUACGAAAAUGUUCAAACCCGUCUGGGGAGGACCAUGGAUGCUUACACGAACGACAUGGUGGUAAAAAGUAAAGAAGGAAUCCGAUAUCUCAAGGAACUUGUCCACCUAAGUUUCACGAUCCUCCGACAAUAUAACUUAGACUUAAUGCAGUGGAAGUGUGCCUUUGGUGUAGGCUCGGGGGAAUCCCGGGCAUCUAGUCACAGCGGUAUCGAAGCAAACCAGAGCAGAUUGCCACCAUAGACAAGUAACCAGCCUAAGGAACGACAAAGAGGCACAGAAAUCACGGAUCUGGGUUUUUUUACUUCUGGGGGGGGACAGCAGACUCUCAACCGGUGCAUCAGUAAGUCGUUUGACAAAUGUCGCCCAUUUUUAAGCUCUUACGCAAAAAAUGCCAAGUUUCUGUGGGAUGAGGAAUCCGAAUGGCACUCCAAUAUUCAAAAAAUAUUUGACCGUAGCCUCCACUCUUCCACGCCGGAGAAGGAAAGCUGCUCCAGUUUAUCUCGCGAUAUCGAAACGCCUUGAGCUAGGUCUUGUUAAGAAAGGUGACCAAUGAGCAGCACCCUAUAUAUUUUGUGAGCAAAACACUAACUGAUUGCCAAACACGAUACUUACCAUUAGAAAAGCUUAUUUUGGCCCUAAUAGUGACCUCACGCAAGCUCAUGCACUAUUUUUCAAGCGCACCCCAUUUCGGUUUACACCGAAUACCCGCUCAAAGUCGUCUUGAUGAAAGCAGACCUGACAGGACAACUUUCUAAAUGGUCCCUAGAACUUGGGCAGUUUGACAUAAGUUUCUUGCCAAGGGCGGCAAUCAAGGGGCAGUUACUAGCGGAUUUCGUGGCAGAGUUUUCCCCCAAGCCGGGAAUCCCAGAGCAGAGUUAGUCGAAAUCUUCGCAAAAAGGAGAAAACUCACAAGAUGCACUAUCUGAGCUCAGAACUACGAAUGAGAAUACCGAGGUCGAUCCAGAGCCAUCUAGAGAAAGGGGCUCGGUUGAACCAAGGAGUUAACCUGAGGGAGCAGAGGUUAUAGUAGAACCACCUCAGGUAGACCUUUCUUUGGCAUGGCAAAUGCCGUCGACGGAGCCAGAAACAACCAAGGGGCAGGGGCAGGAUAGUUUUGGAAGAGUCCCGAUGAGCGGUUUCGUUCGAACAAUGCCUUGAUUAAUUUCCAAGCAAUGACCCAAUGAAGCCGAAUAUGAAGCUCUGAUCGUAGGACUGAGGCUGGCAGCAACUGGGAGUGCGGAGCUCUGAAUAAACAGCGAUUCCAAAUUGGUCGUAAAAUUAGGUGACAGGCAAAUUUGAAGAUCGGUGAAAUUAAAAUGGAAAAAAUAUCUGAAGGUGGCAAAAAAA